rnacentral:tRNA from 1 species
GCGUCACUAGCUCAGUUGGUAGAGCACUCGACUUUUAAUCGAGUUGUCACAGGUUCGAUCCCUGUGUGACGCACCA